rnacentral:rRNA from 1 species
GACGAACGCUUGCGGCGUGCCUAAGAAAUGCAAGUCGAGCGAGGAUUCACGCUGACCGAAGCUUCGGCAGAGGUCUUGUGAAGCCUAGCGGCGAACGGUCGCGUAACACGUAAGCAACCUGCCCUGAAGUGUGGGAUAGCCCUCCGAAAGGAGGAUUAAUACCGCAUGUGGAUACGAUGUCGCAUGGCAACGUAUCUAAAGCAGCAAUGCGCUUCAGGAUGGGCUUGCGGCCUAUCAGCUAGUUGGUGGGGUAACGGCCUACCAAGGCGACGACGGGUAGCUGGUCUGAGAGGAUGGUCAGCCGGAUUGGGACUGAGACACGGCCCAGACUCCUACGGGGGGCAGCAAUUAGGAAUCUUGCGCAAUGGGGGAAACCCGUAGACGCAGCGACGCCGCGUGAGCGAUGAAGUCUUUCGGGUAGUGUAAAGACUCUGUCCUGUGGGAAGGAAGAAUGUGACGGUACCCACAGAGAAAGACCCCGGCCUAACUACGUG